rnacentral:rRNA from 1 species
GUGAGGAAUAUUGCGCAAUGGAGGCAACUCUGACGCAGCCAUGCCGCGUGCAGGAAGAAGGCGCUACGCGUUGUAAACUGCUUUUAACCGGGAAGAAACCCCAGGACGUGUCCUGGGUUGACGGUACCGGAGGAAUAAGCACCGGCUAACUUCGUGCCAGCAGCCGCGGUAAUACGAAGGGUGCAAGCGUUAUCCGGAUUCAUUGGGUUUAAAGGGUGCGUAGGCGGAGCGUUAAGUCAGUGGUGAAAUCCUGCAGCUUAACUGUAGACUUGCCAUUGAUACUGGCGCUCUUGAGUGCGCUUGAAGUGGGCGGAAUGUGCCGUGUAGCGGUGAAAUGCUUAGAUAUGGCACAGAACACCAAUUGCGAAGGCAGCUCACUAAGGCGAUACUGACGCUGAGGCACGAAAGCGUGGGGAUCAAACAGGAUUAGAUACCCUAGUAGUCC